GGUGCAAGAACAUGGUGGUGAACCUAUCAUUCCUUUUAGCGGUGUGCUUGAGAGGAACCUUGCUGAUUUGGAACCUGCUGAAGCUGCAAGUAUUGCGAGGAAACAAGGUGCAAAGUGCUCUUCCAAAGAUCAUCAAGACUGGUUUCUCUGCGAUUAAUCUCAUAUUUCUUCACAGCAGGACCAGAUGAGGUGAAAUGCUGGCAAAUUAGACGGCAAUCCAAGGCUCCUCAAGCUGCAGGAGCCAUUCAUACUGAUUUUGAGAGAGGAUUUAUAUGUGCUGUGGUCAUGAAAUUCGAAGAUCUGAAGGAGCUUGG